rnacentral:rRNA from 1 species
UUAAGUUAUUAAGGGCGCACGGUGGAUGCCUUGGCACUAGAAGCCGAUGAAGGACGUUACUAACGACGAUAUGCUUUGGGGAGCUGUAAGUAAGCUUUGAUCCAGAGAUUUCCGAAUGGGGAAACCCAGCAUGAGUUAUGUCAUGUUAUCGAUAUGUGAAUACAUAGCAUAUCAGAAGGCACACCCGGAGAACUGAAACAUCUUAGUACCCGGAGGAAGAGAAAGAAAAUUCGAUUCCCUUAGUAGCGGCGAGCGAAACGGGAAGAGCCCAAACCAAAAAGCUUGCUUGUUGGGGUUGUAGGACACUCUAUACGGAGUUACAAAGGACGACAUUAGACGAAUCAUCUGGAAAGAUGAAUCAAAGAAGGUAAUAAUCCUGUAGUCGAAAAUGUUGUCUCUCUUGAGUGGAUCCUGAGUACGACGGAGCACGUGAAAUUCCGUCGGAAUCUGGGAGGACCAUCUCCUAAGGCUAAAUACUCUCUAGUGACCGAUAGUGAACCAGUACCGUGAGGGAAAGGUGAAAAGCACCCCGGAAGGAGAGUGAAAUAGAACCUGAAACCGUGUGCUUACAAGUAGUCAGAGCCCGUUAAUGGGUGAUGGCGUGCCUUUUGUAGAAUGAACCGGCGAGUUACGAUUUGAUGCAAGGUUAAGCAGUAAAUGUGGAGCCGUAGCGAAAGCGAGUCUGAAUAGGGCGUUUAGUAUUUGGUCGUAGACCCGAAACCAGGUGAUCUACCCUUGGUCAGGUUGAAGUUCAGGUAACACUGAAUGGAGGACCGAACCGACUUACGUUGAAAAGUGAGCGGAUGAACUGAGGGUAGCGGAGAAAUUCCAAUCGAACCUGGAGAUAGCUGGUUCUCUCCGAAAUAGCUUUAGGGCUAGCCUCAAGUGAUGAUUAUUGGAGGUAGAGCACUGUUUGGACGAGGGGCCCCUCUCGGGUUACCGAAUUCAGACAAACUCCGAAUGCCAAUUAAUUUAACUUGGGAGUCAGAACAUGGGUGAUAAGGUCCGUGUUCGAAAGGGAAACAGCCCAGACCACCAGCUAAGGUCCCAAAAUAUAUGUUAAGUGGAAAAGGAUGUGGCGUUGCCCAGACAACUAGGAUGUUGGCUUAGAAGCAGCCAUCAUUUAAAGAGUGCGUAAUAGCUCACUAGUCGAGUGACACUGCGCCGAAAAUGUACCGGGGCUAAACAUAUUACCGAAGCUGUGGAUUGUCCUUUGGACAAUGGUAGGAGAGCGUUCUAAGGGCGUUGAAGCAUGAUCGUAAGGACAUGUGGAGCGCUUAGAAGUGAGAAUGCCGGUGUGAGUAGCGAAAGACGGGUGAGAAUCCCGUCCACCGAUUGACUAAGGUUUCCAGAGGAAGGCUCGUCCGCUCUGGGUUAGUCGGGUCCUAAGCUGAGGCCGACAGGCGUAGGCGAUGGAUAACAGGUUGAUAUUCCUGUACCACCUAUAAUCGUUUUAAUCGAUGGGGGGACGCAGUAGGAUAGGCGAAGCGUGCGAUUGGAUUGCACGUCUAAGCAGUAAGGCUGAGUAUUAGGCAAAUCCGGUACUCGUUAAGGCUGAGCUGUGAUGGGGAGAAGACAUUGAGUCUUCGAGUCGUUGAUUUCACACUGCCGAGAAAAGCCUCUAGAUAGAAAAUAGGUGCCCGUACCGCAAACCGACACAGGUAGUCAAGAUGAGAAUUCUAAGGUGAGCGAGCGAACUCUCGUUAAGGAACUCGGCAAAAUGACCCCGUAACUUCGGGAGAAGGGGUGCUCUUUAGGGUUAACGCCCAGAAGAGCCGCAGUGAAUAGGCCCAAGCGACUGUUUAUCAAAAACACAGGUCUCUGCUAAACCGUAAGGUGAUGUAUAGGGGCUGACGCCUGCCCGGUGCUGGAAGGUUAAGAGGAGUGGUUAGCUUCUGCGAAGCUACGAAUCGAAGCCCCAGUAAACGGCGGCCGUAACUAUAACGGUCCUAAGGUAGCGAAAUUCCUUGUCGGGUAAGUUCCGACCCGCACGAAAGGCGUAACGAUUUGGGCACUGUCUCAACGAGAGACUCGGUGAAAUCAUAGUACCUGUGAAGAUGCAGGUUACCCGCGACAGGACGGAAAGACCCCGUGGAGCUUUACUGUAGCCUGAUAUUGAAAUUCGGCACAGCUUGUACAGGAUAGGUAGGAGCCUUUGAAACGUGAGCGCUAGCUUACGUGGAGGCGCUGGUGGGAUACUACCCUAGCUGUGUUGGCUUUCUAACCCGCACCACUUAUCGUGGUGGGAGACAGUGUCAGCGGGCAGUUUGACUGGGGCGGUCGCCUCCUAAAAGGUAACGGAGGCGCUCAAAGGUUCCCUCAGAAUGGUUGGAAAUCAUUCAUAGAGUGUAAAGGCAUAAGGGAGCUUGACUGCGAGACCUACAAGUCGAGCAGGGUCGAAAGACGGACUUAGUGAUCCGGUGGUUCCGCAUGGAAGGGCCAUCGCUCAACGGAUAAAAGCUACCCCGGGGAUAACAGGCUUAUCUCCCCCAAGAGUUCACAUCGACGGGGAGGUUUGGCACCUCGAUGUCGGCUCAUCGCAUCCUGGGGCUGUAGUCGGUCCCAAGGGUUGGGCUGUUCGCCCAUUAAAGCGGUACGCGAGCUGGGUUCAGAACGUCGUGAGACAGUUCGGUCCCUAUCCGUCGUGGGCGUAGGAAAUUUGAGAGGAGCUGUCCUUAGUACGAGAGGACCGGGAUGGACAUACCUCUGGUGUACCAGUUGUCGUGCCAACGGCAUAGCUGGGUAG